rnacentral:rRNA from 1 species
UGGGGAAUUUCGCACAAUGGGGGAAACCCUGAUGCAGCGACGCCGCGUGAUUUAGAAGGCCUUCGGGUUGUAAAAAUCUUUUCUAUGGGAAGAAAAUGACAGUACCAUAGGAAUAAGGACCGGCUAAUUACGUGCCAGCAGCCGCGGUAAUACGUAAGGUCCGAGCGUUGUCCGGAAUCAUUGGGCGUAAAGGGUACGUAGGCGGGUAAGCAAGUUAGAAGUGAAAUCCUAUAGCUCAACUAUAGUAAGCUUUUAAAACUGCUCAUCUUGAGGUAUGGAAGGGAAAGUGGAAUUCCUAGUGUAGCGGUGAAAUGCGCAGAUAUUAGGAAGAAUACCGGUGGCGAAGGCGACUUUCUGGCCAUAACCUGACGCUGGGGUACGAAAGCGUGGGUAGCAAACAGG